rnacentral:rRNA from 1 species
GCGCCAGACUCCUACGGGAGGCAGCAGUGGGGAAUAUUGCACAAUGGGGGAAACCCUGAUGCAGCGACGCCGCGUGAGUGAAGAAGUCUUUCGGUAUGUAAAGCUCUAUCAGCAGGGAAGAAAAUGACGGUACCUGAUUAAGAAGCCCCGGCUAACUACGUGCCAGCAGCCGCGGUAAUACGUAGGGGGCAAGCGUUAUCCGGAUUUACUGGGUGUAAAGGGAGCGUAGACGGCAGCGCAAGUCUGAAGUGAAAUGCCGGGGCUUAACCCCGGAACUGCUUUGGAAACUGUGCGGCUGGAGUGCAGGAGGGGUAAGCGGAAUUCCUAGUGUAGCGGUGAAAUGCGUAGAUAUUAGGAGGAACACCGGUGGCGAAGGCGGCUUACUGGACUGUAACUGACGUUGAGGCUCGAAAGCGUGGGGAGCAAACAGGAUUAGAUACCCGGGUAA